rfam:Aedes albopictus isolate Foshan contig152799, whole genome shotgun sequence.
UGUUCUGUGACUUAGAUGGUUAAAGCGCCGGACUAGUGAUAUGGAGUCGUGGGUUCGAGUCCCACCAAAACAA